rnacentral:lncRNA from 1 species
CUGAGAGAUCAUCUAGUUCAGUAGUUCUCCAAGUGUAUUCCUGGGCCGGAAGCACUGGCCACACCUGGGAACUUGUUAGAAAUGCAUAUUCUCAGGCCUACUGAAUCAGAAGCUCUGGGGUUAGGGCCCAGCAAACUGUGUUUUAACAAACCCUCCAGGUGGUUCUGAUGGAGGCUGAACUUGAGAACCACUGAUCUAGUUCAAGCAUUUCAUUUUACAAAUGAGGAAACUGGGGCCUGGAAAGAGUCUAUGCUUCUGGUCACAGCAGGGACUGUGCCUGUUUCACUCAUUGUGCAUCCCCCAACACACAGGGCCUGGCUUGUGGUAAGCACUCAGUAAAUCUUUGCUGAAUAGAUGAAUAAGGGAAUGAAUAAGCCAGAACUAGAAACAACAUCUCUGAGUCCUAACUCACUCCACCAGAGCUUUCUCUUGCCCCAGGGAAGGAUGGAGGCAUGGGGGAAGAACUGCUUCUUGGUUCUUGCUUUGUGAGAGGCUUGAAGCAUUGUAUCUGUGGCCUGUCCUGUAGGAGGAUGGCAGCUCUACCGCCAAGGUCUUGCUCCCCAGCCACGGGCCAGUCUUGUUCACUGUCCCUGCACCAGUAGUUUGACCAAGCCCAUGCCCCACUAGGAAUUGUGUCUGUUGCUUUCAUAGAUCCUGUCACUGUCUGAGGCAUAAUCAGGCCCCCUGCCUAGGUCUUAGAUUCCCUGACCAAUAAGCUCAGCUCAGAGAGUGAAUGGGGAGAAUUAAAGUGAGAUCCAAUUCAUGAAAAAAGAGAUUUCUAAGGCAAGGGUCCUAGGAAGGUGGGUCUUCAGGUUCAGUUACUGGGUCCUGUGAAGCCAAGGAGGAGGGGGUGGGGAGAGGGAGGGAGAGAGGGAGAGGAAGAGAGGAGAGAGAGACAGAGAGAGAGAGAGAGAGAAAGAGAGAGAGAGAGUCGGUCCUCAAAGUUUUUAGUUGCAGACAUGUAGAGCCAUGUUGCCUGGAUCUGGGUGGCGUACCCCUGGCUGCCUUGGUCCCCCAGCCCUGGCCUGCUGACCCUCUCUGAAAUGAGAAGAAGGGGAAGGCAAACAGGAUUCAAGAGUUUUUAAACAAAAAAGGAGAUCUCCCAGGGCAUGAGUGACAGGCUUCUGAGAAGGUUCCUGGGUCCCUGAUCCUGUUACAUUCUAUGAACUAACUACGCAACUGAAAGUAUCAAUCCACAUGGAUCCAACCACUCAAGGAGCUUAUGUUCUUCGAACCUCAAGUUCAAAUGGCUCUCACGCCAUACUGCUACCCAAGUGCCUUAUCUUUGAUUGUCUACAUGCCUAUAGUCCCCACAGAAGAGCAGAGUGAUCUUUCCAAUGUUGAUAGAAAACUCUUUGGAUACUCAAUGCCUUCAUAGUUAUUGCCACACUUCCCUGAGACCUAUCCUUAGGAAAGAACUUGAUAAACUCAUUCACUUACAGGUGGUAGCAACCAGUAAGAGCUGCCUUUUCCAUCCCCAUGGAAGAUUUAAGCUGAUGAUUUCAUACCUUAGUGCUAGCUAUUAAUUCCUAACUUGUGGUUGACUAACCCACAACUUCUUCUCUGGGCCCUGCAUAUUUUGUAUUUUUUCAUGCUCUUUGGGGCUCCCAGUAGAGGGAUAAAGAGAUUCCUAGUUGCAGACAGAUUCUUAACUUUAUGUGUUCUUGAGUUAAAGAGCUCUAUUGUAAAGGGUAACUUUACUAACAGAUAAUUAUUGGGCACCUACUGGGGCAAGGCAAUGUUCUAGAUGCUGACAGUGAAAAAAGACAGAUGAGGUUCCUGCAUCCAUGGGUUUACAUUCUAGAUCAAGGAAAUGGAAAAUAAACAAGUUAACAAAUAAGUGAGGAACAUAACUUCCAAAGGCAAGAAGUGCUGUGAAAACAAUAAAGCGGGAUGAAGUAGAGUGACUUUAGGAGCCAAGUUAGAUGUGUUCCUCGGGGAAAGCCUCUCUAAGGAGGUGCCAUUUGAGCUAACUGAACAGGAAGGAGCCAGGUCUGGAAUGUGAGGGAAGAGCAUUCCGUCCGAGAGAAGGGCCUGGGUAAAGGUCUGUAGUCGGGGGUGAACUUAGUGUGUUCAGAAACAGAGGCCUGUGUGGCUAGAUGUGCAUGUCCUUGAGAAGAGCAAUCUUAGGGGAGGGUUGGGGGCAGGUGGCAGACUAUGACAACAUCCUUAGUUCUUUGCAAUUGUUUUAUGAUGAAGGGAAGCAGGUAAAUGGGCUGGAAACUGGAGGAGGUAAUCAAGUUCAAGGGAGGAAUCUGUUGUGGUGAUCUGGUUUGUGUGUCUGUGUGUGUGCUUUGUUUUUUGUUUUUGAGACAGAGUUUUGCUCUUAUUGCCCAGGCUGGAGUGCAAAGGCACGAUCUCAGCUCACCACAAUUACCGCCUCCCAGGUUCAAGUGAUUCUUCCGCCU